GCUUGGAGGCCAUAUAAUGGGCCCCUCCCAUUUCCUGUAUGCAUUUCUAUGGUGCUCAGAUAUAUAUUGCACAGUGCGGAGGACCGUGACUGAACACACUUCUUCCUCUCCUAUAUAUGUGUAUAGAGAUGUACGAGGGCUGUACAUUCACAGUGAUCACUUUCCGAAUCUCCCAUCAGACUCGCAGCAAUAAGCCCCAU